rnacentral:rRNA from 1 species
AUUGAACGCUGGCGGCAUGCCUUACACAUGCAAGUCGAACGGCAGCACGGGUGCUUGCACCUGGUGGCGAGUGGCGAACGGGUGAGUAAUACAUCGGAACAUGUCCUGUAGUGGGGGAUAGCCCGGCGAAAGCCGGAUUAAUACCGCAUACGAUCUACGGAUGAAAGCGGGGGACCUUCGGGCCUCGCGCUAUAGGGUUGGCCGAUGGCUGAUUAGCUAGUUGGUGGGGUAAAGGCCUACCAAGGCGACGAUCAGUAGCUGGUCUGAGAGGACGACCAGCCACACUGGGACUGAGACACGGCCCAGACUCCUACGGGAGCCAGCAGUGGGGAAUUUUGGACAAUGGGCGAAAGCCUGAUCCAGCAAUGCCGCGUGUGUGAAGAAGGCCUUCGGGUUGUAAAGCACUUUUGUCCGGAAAGAAAUCCUUGGCCCUAAUACGGUCGGGGGAUGACGGUACCGGAAGAAUAAGCACCGGCUAACUACGUG